rnacentral:rRNA from 1 species
AUAAGCGGAGGAAAAGAAACCAACAGGGAUUGCCCUAGUAACGGCGAGUGAAGCGGCAACAGCUCAAAUUUGAAAUCUGGCUCUUUUAGAGUCCGAGUUGUAAUUUGCAGAGAGUGCUUUGGUGUUGGCAGCGGUCUAAGUUCUUUGGAACAGGACGUCACAGAGGGUGAGAAUCCCGUACGUGGUCGCUGGCCUUCACCGUGUAAAGCCUCUUCGACGAGUCGAGUUGUUUGGGAAUGCAGCUCUAAAUGGGAGGUAAAUUUCUUCUAAAGCUAAAUACCGGCUAGAGACCGAUAGCGCACAAGUAGAGUGAUCGAAAGAUGAAAAGCACUUUGGAAAGAGAGUUAAACAGCACGUGAAAUUGUUGAAAGGGAAGCGCUUGCAGCCAGACUUGCCUGUAGUUGCUUAUCUGGACUUUUGUCCAGUGCACUCUUCUACGGGCAGGCCAGCAUCAGUCCGGGCGGUUGGAUAAAGGUCUCUGUCAUGUACCUCCUUUCGGGGAGGCCUUAUAGGGGAGACGACAUGCAACCAGCCUGGACUGAGGUCUGCGCAUCUGCUAGGAUGCUGGCGUAAUGGCUGUAAGCGGCCCGUCUUGAAACACGGACCAAGGAGUCUAACAUCUAUGCGAGUGUUUGGGUGUCAAGCCCAGACGCGUAAUGAAAGUGAACGGAGGUGGGAACCUUAGGGUGCACCAUCGACCGAUCCUGAUGUCUUCGGAUGGAUUUGAGUAAGAGCAUGGCUGUUGGGACCCGAAAGAUGGUGAACUAUGCUUGAAUAGGGUGAAGCCAGAG